UCACAGGGCGUUUUCUGUCGCCACGUGCAGGCCCUGCCAGCCCAUCUUUCAGAGAACCGGCAAAGGACAGCGACCAGGAGGGUUCCAUCUCUUCUACUCGGCCUUGACUCACUUGGCUCUGUAGUUCUUGCGCAGCCAAGAGCUCAGCUCCCAGAGCUCCUAUCUACCGCACGCAAGACAGCAGCAAGGCUUUCUGGCGAACCGCUGGGGAACCCACCCAGAGACCCCAACUUGCAACCGGCGCAGGAGACGUCACUGCGUUCGGGUUCCCCUCCAAACGCACCUGUUCUGUGGGAUAGGUUCAGAAUGAUCCCUGGCUCCCCUUUCUCAAGCGGCCCUGCCCUGCCCAGUGGGUCUGGGAGCAGAGGUCCGUGCCCAGUGCUGCCUUCUCUGUGGGGCGUGCUAACAUUGCAACAGGUGUAGCCCUGCCGCUGUCAUCCGCGGCGACACCACCCCGUGUCCGCCUCUCGGCCCCAGGGCCAGUCUCUUGCAGCGCUCGCCAGAAGCUCUGAAGGCCAACCUCGGAGCAGCGAUGAUGCUCACCCCCGGGUGUACAGAUCCCUGGAGUGGUUGCUUCAAGAGCAAGGUCGAGAGCCUCAAUGGUCUGCGUGGGUACGUCAGAGGCCAGAAGAGGGCGCUGCGUGCCCUUUAGACUCACCUGGUCCCCAGCAGGUUAUUCAUUAGCACACUGAUAUCCGCACAGGGGAGCGGAUCUAUCUGUGUGAAAGAAUGGAUUCACAGCCACCCGCGAUCUAAAUAGAGUUUCUCCGCCUAUGGAGAGAGUGGUCCCAGGAGACCCACCCACGAUACUCGCCAGAAACAGAACUAGAAAGACUUGCAGUUCUGUUGAGUAGAUGCAAAUGAUUUUGAUGAAAGUAACUCUGGCGAUUGAUUCAUUUUGCCUGUCUCCUGGGGAGGAAGAACUUUAGAGGCGACUGAGCACACACCCAGGAGUUUUUAGUUCUGCUAAAGUCCAGUUCUCCAGUCUGCAAGGCUUGAGACCCCUUCGUGCAUUAAGGAAUUAUCGCUGCUUUGAAGUUAGAGACGUUUUAAAUGAUCUCGUCAGACGGAGUGAACACUAGUGAGAUGCUCUGGGAAGCUCGAGCCUUCUGCAGCUGUAGGUCCUCAGGGCUCCGACUACGUCUGCCUGCCACCAGCUCACUGCCACCUCUUGUCCCAUGCUGACCUUAAGGAGCUUCUAAGGCUGAGCCUGGAGACGAGACGUCCCAGGCACAGAGCCCCCACUUUGGGGAUGGAUCCACUGCAGCAGCGGGGACUCUCAGAUCUCCCUAUUUUCCAGAAGCAAGCACAGGACGCUGAAGAAAAGACAGCAGCAGUUGGUACGUUUCUGCUCUCAGCUGGCCACAUUUAACCAAGAGGUCUUGGGUCACACGCAUAGAUGCGUAAGUGACUGAAGACCAAUGUCAUAGAAACAACAGGUCUGGGUCUGUACUCUGGCAAGAAUGCCUGCGAAGCCUCCUAGCACAACGAGGAGGUUCACUAAAUGGAUUUCCUCUGAACACACACACAUACACACACGCACACACACGCACACACGCACGCACACACCUGAGGUUGACACUGGAAGUCUUACACAGUCAUUCUCCAUCUUAUUCACUGAGGCAGGUUCUCCCAGUUGAACCCGGAGCUUGUCAAUACAGCUAUCUGACUGGCCAGCUUACUGUGGCAAUCCCACCACCUUCUGACCAACAAUUACAAGUGGGUCACCAGGUUCAUCUGAUGGUUAUGUGGGUUCUGGGGGUUCAAACUCCAGUCCUCAUGCUUGUAUGCCCAGUGCUUUAACCACUAAUAAGCCAGUCUCAUUGAUGUUCUAAACUAAAACUGAGACCUUCAACAAACCACUCUUACAACGUAGCGCUGUGGCUAGAGUCAGACCAUUUCAAAAGAACCAGGAGACGGGCAAGGUGUAGAUGCAUCCCAGGUUAAAAGCAAAUCCCCAUCACUGACUGUCUCAGGAAGUAAUACAAACCAACGGACUUUUAGGGCCACAGUGCAUAUUGUAAACAGAUUGACACCAUCCUAAGGAUGGCAUCCUAAGGACUGCCAGGCAGUGACCCAGCACUGCAAACCUGACUCUGGAAACCUUUCCCCUUCUCAACAGAAGUGAUGGCAGCUCAGAGGUCGGUUUGUCUGUGCUGAGCCCUCUCAUGCAAGCACUCCAAAAGUCACACACCGAAGGAUCUGAAGGAGUUCUGAAGACGGCAGCACAUUAUCCUAACGUCCUUGUUGUCUUAGGCCUUGAAAGCCCAGCACCAAACCCUUUCUUGUUACCUCACCAAGCUUGUUGGAGUGUGGCAACCCCAGGGUCUGGGGGCAAUGGCCUUGGACCUGACUUCCACUCUAUCUGUACCCCUUUCUCUCACUGGAAACACCACCGUCUGUGCCUGGAUCCGUUACACGCACAUCUUUUCCACACGCUCUGGGGUGAGGCCUGGCAGGAUACAGACUUGCUAACCCGCCAGCUAACCCUCCCUCAGCAUCAGGCAACAGUGUAAGAAAGGCCUGGGGAGCUCCCUGUUGGUGGAUGCCCUGCAGCAGACCACCAGCAUCCUUGGGCGGAUCAUUUCCUGCUCUGGCUGACAGAUCUGCUACCACCUUCAGAGACAGAGAAACAGCCACAGGGAGAGGAGGGUAGCCAGGAUACUACUGUAUCUUUAUAACAGCGACGACCAGAAAUCCACACUGAUACUCGCUGGCUUAGAGAUAACCUGUUUUAAACAAACCUCUAAAAUCCUCUAAAAAACGUCUCAGAAGAGUGUGCCAUGUAACCUACGCACACAUGCAUUUGGAACAGGUUCUUGAGUGCUGGCUAGGUGCCAGGGGCUUCCUAGGUGCCACAGAUAGAAAGGAGGCGAGCCAGAUGUGUGAGCCCAUUUGGGGGAACUUACUCCCAAAGUGGGAGACAGUAAAGGAGGUGGUCGUAUGUAGUUGUCACUGUGUCUAUGGUUGGUUCCCUAGCCUGGUUGGUAAGAGCCUCCUUUGACAGCGUGUUAGAGUAAGAUCCUUCCAGGCCCCAGAAAGCUCACCUUGGAGGGUCUGUACUGGGGACCAGCAAUGUGUUCUUGGAUUAAAUUCCAAAGCUAACCUCAAGCCAGUUGGAGCUUAGGAUCCAAGGCUGAAGGAUCCUAGACUAUAAUGGAAACAGCAGAGGGACAUAGCGGGUCUUCAUGCAGGGGAUGCAGAACUGCUUGUGGUUAGAGGAGAGAGACCAGGAAGAUGAAUAAGAAGGCAGGUCUGGAGGUGAGGAAUGAGGAAGCCUAUGCUUCUGCAAAGUGUAAAUGCCACGAAACACCCACCACUGUGGAUCUGUCCCCUGUUAAUGGAGACUAAAAGCAGGAUAAACAAACACAGCAUGCACCCUGGGCUUUCCAUUUCGCUCUAAGAAGUGUGAAUGUAUUUUGCCCAGGAAAAGCCGAGACUCCAUCUGCAAUGCUGACCCUGAUAAUGACAUUGUGCUUGUGGAAGAAAAUGCCUUUAUCUUCAGGAACUAUAUACUGAAAUAUUUAGGGAAAAGAUACAUGUCUUCAAAUUUAAACUGUGAGAAAGGAUGCGAGCGGAAGAAAAUACUGACUUGCUGAUCCCCGGGGGGAGCACAGGGAACUCUUGUGCUGUGCUCUUCUUGUUCUUUUCUGUGAAUCCACAAGGAUGUCAACAAUUUGAAAGAAGAAUACUACAUAUGUUAAAAAGUA